rnacentral:rRNA from 1 species
GACGAACGCUGGCGGCGUGCUUAACACAUGCAAGUCGAACGGAAAGGCCCUGCUUUUGUGGGGUGCUCGAGUGGCGAACGGGUGAGUAACACGUGAGUAACCUGCCCUUGACUUUGGGAUAACUUCAGGAAACUGGGGCUAAUACCGGAUAGGAUCUCCUGCUGCAUGGUGGGGGUUGGAAAGUUUCGGCGGUUGGGGAUGGACUCGCGGCUUAUCAGCUUGUUGGUGUGGUAGUGGCUUACCAAGGCUUUGACGGGUAGCCGGCCUGAGAGGGUGACCGGCCACAUUGGGACUGAGAUACGGCCCAGACUCCUACGGGAGGCAGCAGUGGGGAAUAUUGCACAAUGGGCGGAAGCCUGAUGCAGCAACGCCGCGUGCGGGAUGACGGCCUUCGGGUUGUAAACCGCUUUCGCCUGUGACGAAGCGUGAGUGACGGUAAUGGGUAAAGAAGCACCGGCUAACUACGUG